UAAAUAGUGGCUGUCCACCAGUGCUGUUCAACAUAUUCACAAAUGAUCUUGAAAAAGGGGUAAACAAUGAGGUGGCAAAAGUUACAGACGAUACAAAAUUCCUCAACAUAUUUAAGUCCAAAGCUGACUGAGAAGAGUUAUAAAGGGAUCUCACAAAAUUGGGUAACUGAGCAACAAAAUGGCAGAUGAAGUUCAAUGCUGAUAAAUGCAAAAUAAUGCACAAUGGAAAACAUA